rnacentral:rRNA from 1 species
AGUGAACGCUGGCGGUAGGCCUAACACAUGCAAGUCGAACGGCAGCACAGUAAGAGCUUGCUCUUACGGGUGGCGAGUGGCGGACGGGUGAGGAAUACAUCGGAAUCUACUUUUUCGUGGGGGAUAACGUAGGGAAACUUACGCUAAUACCGCAUACGACCUACGGGUGAAAGCAGGGGAUCUUCGGACCUUGCGCGAUUGAAUGAGCCGAGGUCGGAUUAGCUAGUUGGCGGGGUAAAGGCCCACCAAGGCGACGAUCCGUAGCUGGUCUGAGAGGAUGAUCAGCGACACUGGAACUGAGACACGGUCCAGACUCCUACGGGAGGCAGCAGUGGGGAAUAUUGGACAAUGGGCGGAAGCCUGAUCCAGCCAUACCGCGUGGGUGAAGAAGGCCUUCGGGUCGUAAAGCCCUUUUGUUGGGAAAGAAAAGCAGCAGGUUAAUACCCCGCUGUUCUGACGGUACCCAAAGAAUAAGCACCGGCUAACUUCGUG